AGAUCCAACGCUGUCGGAGUGCUUACUGUACUACAUCAAAGAUGGUUUAACGCGUCUUGGUACAUCGGAAGCCAACGUCCCGCAGGACAUACAGUUGUCUGGCUCACACAUCUUGAAGGAGCCAUUGUGUGUUUGAAAACAAGGAUGGGUGUCGUGACGCUGGUGGCCACAUAAAGAUGCUUUGGUUUAUUUGAACGGUAGAAAGCUCGUCGAACCGGAAGUUUUGCAAACUGGAUCUCGUGUCAUUUUGGGUAAGAAUCAUGUUUUCCGAUUCACUCAUCCGGAACAGGCCCGAGAGAAACGUGAGAAACCAAGGAUAAAGAUGUUGGCGAAAAUCCGGGAGGAAAUGCCGAAGCUGCUGAUUGGAACUUCGCCCAGUGUGAAUUGUUGGAGAAACAAGGCAUUGAUUUGAAGGCAGAAAUGCAGAAACGUUUGUGUGCUUUGGAAGAACAAUUCAAACGUGAAAAACUAGCUGCUGAUCAAGAAUUUGAAGACGCAACGCAAGACAUAUGAAGCUCGAAUCGAUGCACUUCAAAAGCAAGUUGAAGAGCAGUCUAUGACUAUGUCCAUGUAUAGCAGCUAUAGCCCAGAAGACUUCCAUCAAGAAGAGGACAUUUUCGUAAAUCCCCUAUUCGAGUCUUGCUGGAACUGCUCGAGAAGCUGGUUUAGCGGCUUGGGCUUUCCGCAAAUGGCGUUACCAUCAGUUCACUUCUCUGCGGGAUGACCUAUGGGGAAAUGCCCAUAUUCCUAAAAG